rnacentral:rRNA from 1 species
UUGAACGCUGGCGGCAGGCCUAACACAUGCAAGUCGAGCGGAUGAAGGGAGCUUGCUCCUGGAUUCAGCGGCGGACGGGUGAGUAAUGCCUAGGAAUCUGCCUGGUAGUGGGGGAUAACGUCCGGAAACGGGCGCUAAUACCGCAUACGUCCUGAGGGAGAAAGUGGGGGAUCUUCGGACCUCACGCGAUCAGAUGAGCCUAGGUCGGAUUAGCUAGUUGGUGGGGUAAAGGCCUACCAAGGCGACGAUCCGUAACUGGUCUGAGAGGAUGAUCAGUCACACUGGAACUGAGACACGGUCCAGACUCCUACGGGAGGCAGCAGUGGGGAAUAUUGGACACUGGGCGAAAGCCUGAUCCAGCCAUGCCGCGUGUGUGAAGAAGGUCUUCGGAUUGUAAAGCACUUUAAGUUGGGAGGAAGGGCAGUAAGUUAAUACCUUGCUGUUUUGACGUUACCAACAGAAUAAGCACCGGCUAACUUCGUG